CAGCACCCCGAGUGGUCGGGACGAUUAUUGGGCCUAAAGCAUCCGUAGCCGGUUUUACAAGUCCUCCGUUAAAUCCAACUGCUUAACAGAUGGGCCGCGGAGGAUACUAUAAGACUAGGAGGCAGGAGAGGCAAGCGGUACUCAGUGGGUAGGGGUAAAAUCCGUUGAUCCAUUGAAGACCACCAGUGGCGAAGGCGGCUUGCCAGAAUGCGCUCGACGGUGAGGGAUGAAAGCUGGGGGAGCAAACCGGAUUAGAUACCCGGGUAGUCCCAGCUGUAAACGAUGCAGACUCGGUGAUGGACUAGCUUUAUGCUAGUCCAGUGCCGCAGGGAAGCCGUUAAGUCUGCCGCCUGGGUAGUACGGUCGCAAGACUG
rnacentral:rRNA from 1 species